rnacentral:lncRNA from 1 species
AGGGGGUCUGGUUUUAUAGUCCCUUCAAGUGAAUAUGGGCCCUUGGAUCAAACCGACAUAGAUUGUAUGGUUUAGAUUCAUCCAUUAGGUCGGUGGAGAUCUCCCGCAAAGCAGAGUCCUGAUUGGACACAGAGGGUGGGCGGGCGCCCUGACCAACUGGGCGGCCGCCCAGGGUCUGGCCCCGUUUCGCCUCCGCUUCGGUCUCGUGGCUUCUGGAGUCUUCUAGAUGUAAGAUAAUUGCGCAGCACGUUAAUAUCUUUACGUAAUCCUGACAUGUGGGCCUUUCUUCCAUAUUUCCUGAUAACCCCCUGCUGAAAUAGACAAACACCAAAAGUCGUGGAAUUCUGUCAGAUAAAACCCUAAGUCUAGAUCUUGAUUUUAUUUGGAUCCUUUUCUUUAUUUAUUUGAUAAUUAAAUUUGAUACUUAAGGACCAUCAACAGUGGCAUAAAAUAAAUAUGUUUUCAUCUUACAAUGAAAAUAUAAAAAUAAUAAGUGCAUGAUCCUGCUAAAUAAAUAACAUUUAUUGAGGAGGCUCAACAUGAUAAAGGCUAGAUAUUUAUGCUAACACUUAACCAGUUCCACAAAGCUUUGUUGUCUAUUUGAGCUCCACAGAACUGAAGGAUCAAAGAAGACUAGCAGACGGAGGACAUCCUAAUCGCUGUCAGGGUGCUGCUGACAUUCAAAUACACCUCCGUCACCUGCUAGCUACAUCAGAAGAAAUUACGUCAAAAUCCAGCUUGGGGAGAGCACCCCCAUUUAUCGAGCUAAGUGUUUCUACUCGCAUUUAUACUUUACUCAAAUAAUAAAAAGAUGCAUAAUUAUAAAAACCCAAAUAAAGAUUUUGUGCUUUUAUAUAUAUCUUUGCUUAGUUUGCUAAAUAAAUAAAUAAAGUUUGCAAUGAACCCUCAUGAUAAGCUCUCACAUGGAAAUGAUGAAUAGUUGCUCUGCCAUGACUAGUUCUUAAAAUUGAAAUCUCUCUCAGGUUUAGGCAUAACUGUUAUGAAUUAAGAUUUGCUCUAAACCUGAACUUGUGGGAGGAGUACUUGAUCUAAAGUCUAAGUCGUUAAUGGAUAUGAUAUGGGAAGGUUGAGCUGCUGUUUAUCUGUUUCUAGAGAUGCUAGAAUUUUGGAGAAUUUUAUCUUUGAAAAUCUUUAAAAUAACACAUGAUGAGUUCAUGUAUGAUGAGAGUUUAAAAUCCUACCACAGCCACAUAUACAUGCUUAUUAGACUAUGAACCAUAUAUUUACUUUUUACUGCUUAUGAGCAUUGAGUGUGGUCAAGCUGUGUAGACCCUUAGGAGCUUGUCAUGUGGUUAAAAUCAAGAUUCACUUGCAUGUUCACUCGUAUAUGCUGCUUCUAUUUCGGAAGUACGCAUCCACAUACAUCCACUCAUUUCCAUCUCCAGAUUCACCCAAAAUUAUUCUACUCCUAAUCCGGGAGAGAAUAGCCAAAAACAUUUUCCUAUCCCUGUUAUUCCCUGUGAAAUAAAUGCUCCAGUUAUUUUGGUUACUACCACUUGCUACAUUAUUUCAGGAGAUGAGUGCUCUAAAAAAAAGAAGAAAAAAAAAUAAUAUACGAGGAAAUAAAAAGGGGCAAGUGCCCGGAACCUCGAAGAAAAGAAAAAGUGAGACGAGAGGUAAAAAUGGACAAGUGUCCGACAGUAGAAUUAGGGGUACAAGAUACCCACCUGAGAAGAAAUAAAAAGAAAAUAUAGAGCAUCUCAUUCUCCUCAAAAAGUUUCAAAGUGCAAGAAAGGUAUGUAUCCCCUAAAAAGAGCAAAAGUAGAAUUAGACUUUCACCAUUGUUAUCACCAUCAUUACCAUACACCAUUCACUCGCCACACAUACACAUCUUGAUUUGACUUAUUGACUUGUUCUUCUGGAUCCAUGGUUUGACUAUACAAUAAAUGUCUUGUAAGUAUGUAUUAUCUGUCUCCCACCUAUGAGCUCCAGAUAUCAAAACCUUAUUAGAGUAGGGUGAGAGAGAAGGCAAUAUCACUAUGCCUCAUACCACAAAUACUACAUACUUUGAGAGAAGGCAUAUAUCAUCACUGCCUUGGUAAGGAUCCAUAAAUACCAUAAAAGAGAGAUCUGAGAGAGUCAUACAAGAAUCUCUGAGUUUUAUUUGAAAAUCUACAAAAACCUCCAGAGCUAUAGCUGAUCAAGAAUAAGAGACAUGGCGCUUGACUUGACCGUUCUAUCUUUUAACUACUCAAGACACAAGUGACGGUAGCAAGCCCCAUGGUGGAAGGUAAUAUGAGAAAGUUUAAAUCUUAACAGUUUACCCUAACUUAGAGAUGAGAUCUGGUUUAAACGCAUGUGUAUCUUUAAGGCAUAAAACCACUGCAGAAACUCUUGAGUCCAUCCUUGCUCAGGGUCGAGCAAGAGGUAAGCUUGGGGGAGUUGUUGACGGUCCUUAAGUACCAAAUAUAAUCAUCAAAUAAAUAAAGAAAAGGAUCCAAAUGCAACCAACUCCCAGACUUAGGGUUUUAUCUGACAGAAUUCCACGAGUUUUGGUGUUUGUCUAUUUCUGCAGGGGGUUAUCAGGAAAUACGGAAGAAAGGCCCACAUGUCAGGAUUACAUAGAGAUAUCAACACACCGUGCAAUUUUCUACCAUCUAGAGGACUCCAGAAGCCAUGGGAAGAAAGCAGAGGCCGAAAGGGGCCAGGCCCAGGGCGCCCGCCCUGAGGACCUGGGCGCUCGCCCUCUGUUGGAUGCCAAUCAGGACUCUCUUCGCACACGACGUUCCACCGACCUAAAGGAUCAAGGAUAACAUAGUACCACAUCACCUGCUGGACCAAAAACGCACAAAGGAGGAGGGCUAUAUAAGCAAGGCCCCAGGCCCCUGGAGGAGAACAAGUUUAUCAUAGAGUUGAGGGGUGCCCUCGAAGGAAAACCUCUUCUCUAAAUAGAAUUUCUUUUUAGGCUUAGCAACCAAUGUAAGUAGAAAUAGAUCUUCUAGUUUCUACUAGAUUGAGAGAUAUAGAGUGGAGGUGUAGAUCGGAGGAAGGCCGGCC